UCAAUCAGCUUCUGGCAACUACUAAAUGUGAGAUUUUAUGUACAAAGUCUCUAAAGGGUCUUCAAUUUCUUUUAGGAGACUCCUGUUAAAAAAAAAAAGUAAUCUGUAUUAUUCAGCAAUGAUCAAAUAUCAUGGUUGCCAACCAUGAACACUUCCAUUAAAAUUAAAUUUGCCAGAUUUGCAAUAAUUUUGGAGUUACCUAAUAAUUACUAAAUGAGUCCUGAUUUCCCUAUUAUUUAGAGUUUAUAUAGGUUUGUUUUGCAAGGUCUACUGUAACAAUAAUGAAACUUUAAAAGUAUAGUUUUUCCAUUUGCAUAAAUAACCACCAAAUGAUUUUGCCUGAAAAAUUAGAUUUACAUCUAUACUCUGACUGCUUUGCUUGUUUAUAAGCCUCUGAAGUUAACCAGAAGAAAUGACUACCUUAGAAUACUCUGAAGGCUAUCAAACUUGUUGGGCAAAAGACUGAAACUAUUUCUAAGGUUUGGACCAAAGUAUUUCAACAAAUCUCUGCAUUUCUAGAAAAAAAAUCUCCCCAAAAGGGCUAAUGCUAAAGGCAAAGUCUCAUGGGGCCCAAAUGUUCCUUAGGCUACUUACAGACCAAGCAUGUGAAAUUUUAUGGUUUGUUAUUCAUUCCUAUAUGAAAAAGAAAUUCAGAUAAAGAAUUAGUCACCUGGAUUAAAUUAAGAAAGCUACAGCCUUGUA